rnacentral:rRNA from 1 species
CCUACGGGAGGCAGCAGUGAGGAAUAUUGGUCAAUGGGCGGGAGCCUGAACCAGCCAAGUCGCGUGAGGGAAGACGGUCCUAUGGAUUGUAAACCUCUUUAGGCGGGGAGCAAUGCCGGGCACGCGUGCACGGAGGGAGAGUACCCGCAGACUAAGCAUCGGCUAACUCCGUGCCAGCAGCCGCGGUAAUACGGGGGAUGCGAGCGUUAUCCGGGUGUAUUGGGUUUAAAGGGUGCGUAGGCGGAUUUUUAAGUCAGCGGUAAAAUGUUCGGGCUCAACCCGGGCCGGCCGUUGAAACUGGGGAUCUUGAGUGGGCGAGAAGUAUGCGGAAUGCGUGGUGUAGCGGUGAAAUGCAGAGAUAUCACGCAGAACUCCGAUUGCGAAGGCAGCAUACCGGCGCCCGACUGACGCUGAGGCACGAAAGCGUGGGGAUCGAACAGGAUUAGAUACCCGAGUAGUC